rnacentral:rRNA from 1 species
GACGAACGCUGGCGGCGUGCCUAAUACAUGCAAGUCGAACGAGCGCAACCGGUGCUUGCACUGGUCAAUCUAGUGGCGAACGGGUGAGUAACACGUGGGUAACCUGCCCAUCAGAGGGGGAUAACAUCCGGAAACGGAUGCUAAAACCGCAUAGGUCUUCGCACCGCAUGGUUUGAAGAGGAAAAGAGGCGCAAGCUUCUGCUGACGGAUGGACCCGCGGUGCAUUAGCUAUUUGGUGAGGUAACGGCUCACCAAGGCCGUGAUGCAUAGCCGACCUGAGAGGGUGAUCAGCCACAGUGGGACUGAGACACGGCCCAAACUCCUACGGGAGGCAGCAGUAGGGAAUCUUCCGCAAUGGACGCAAGUCUGACGGAGCAACGCCGCGUGAGUGAAGAAGGUUUUCGGAUCGUAAAACUCUGUUGUUAGAGAAGAACAAGUGCUAGAGUAACUGUUAGCGCCUUGACGGUAUCUAACCAGAAAGCCACGGCUAACUACGUG